ensembl:lncRNA
UUUUUUUAUUUUUUUUAAGAAUUUUAUUAACAGAAAUCCCCCAUAAAUAUUUUGCACCUAGACAGAAGGGGUUCUUAAAAGGGCUUAAAGUGCUUAAAAGGAAGUAGUCAUUACAAUGACUAUAGUCAUUCUAUGCAAUAUAAUAGCUAAGUAAAUAUUACUAAACAUCAUUCAUGACACGUUGAUACAAAUAUAAUCAAACCUAGCAGUGCCCACUUCCUUUACCACAAAGUAAUAGUGGACACUGUAUGAAUAUAAAUCAAUGGCUACAGUACAGGGAGGAAAGAACUUUAUCAGCAGAUAGCAUAUAGACCAUAAUGACCAUUUAGAGUCGACCCCCCCCCCCCCCCACACACACACACCUGUAAAGUAAAUUAAUACAUGUAGAUCAUUAUUGUAGAUUUACUACAUUAGUUUUUUGAGUUUUUUUUUUUUAACACGCAUUAAUAUUUGAGGCCAGAUCUGAAGCAGAGGCAGGUGCUGAGUGGAUUUCAUUAGUAAUGUAUUAGAUGUGUGUACUCACUGGCACAGCAUUUCAUUUCAUUUUGCUUCCACAGCAGCAGUUUACAGUAAAUACUUGCCCUGGACGUACAGUUACUUUUAUGUUCACACACAUUUUAUGCUCACUAUGAUGCCAUGCAAUCCAUCAAGUUCUUUCCCCCAGACUGAAUGGACCAGUGAUAGAUGUAUCAAUAGUUAUACUAUAAAUUACAUAUAUGAAGUUACCUUACAGUUUAGUUAUUUAUUUAUAGUUUUACUUGCAUAUACAUAUGUACAGUUAUGCAUACUAAAUGUGCCUGUUUACAUAACAGACAAAAUAUAUAGUAUAAAUAAAUAUAAAUAUAUAGUUCUAUAAUAUAUAAUUACAUAAUAUCAUUAUUUCAUCAUAUAGUUUCAUUUCGGUUAGUUAAGAGUCAUGAUCAGUUUAGUCAAAAAGACAAACACAAAAUCUAAAGUUUUAUAUCUUGUUACAUAAAAGAUAAGACCAUAGUGAAUGACUGAAGACUGAAGAACGCCCAGAUGCAAUGAUGUAACUUCUCCUGUGGUUAAAUAAAAAGGAAAGGGAAAUGCUUUUAGUGAUGCUCACCGCUGUUUGUUCUGUAAUUCACUGCCUAAUAUAAUGUGGUAUAUUUUAAAAUAUAUGAUCAAAGAUAAUGAUUUGAACUAUUUUACAUCAUACAGCAGUAUUUUAUAAAAUACCAAUGAUGCUACAUACCACAAUCAAACAAUCUUUUCAGCAGAACCUUGACCACUAAGAACAUAUCCUGGCCUAUAAGCACAAAAUUACACAGAUAUUAAAAGACAAAUAUUACACAAAGCCAUGUGUUUAGCUUGUUCGUGGUAGUUUUUAGGAGGACCUCACCUUUGUCUUUUCCGAUAAAGCACAGUGAUGACAAUGACAAUCACCAACACUGCAAAUGCACCCACUCCAAUCCAAAUAUAAACACUCCAGCUGGGAAAACCCACUAGGAAACAAACAAACAAACAUAAACAACACAACAAAAAGGUGUUAGAAUAUAGCUAAAAACACAAUGAACUGCAUCAUUUAACAAGACAAAAUUAUAUGCAAAAUUAAUAACAUUAAACUUUUCUUAUGCAUUUUUUUCUCAUGUUGUUCCAAAGUUGUAUGAUUUUCUUACUUCAGAGGAACAUGAAAGGAGAUAUUUUGAAGAACAUUAGGGUCCAAACAACAUUAGAUCCUGCUGACUUUCAUUGUAAGGACAAAAAAGAGAAAUAGUUCAGAACAUCUUCUAAGUUCCACUGAAGAAAAAGUCAUACAGAUUUAGAAUGAUUUAACGGUGAGUCAAUGUUAACAAUUUUCAAUUUUGGGUGGACUAACAUUUUAAGAAAAAAAAAAAUGCAUUGAUUUUCCAUAUAGAGAAACUGAUUUUAACAUUAAUAUAUCUGUGAUUGUGAAGUAAUGAUAUAUGCUUCUGUAGAAGAUACAAGUAAUUUUAUAAAGUGUGAUUUCAAAAAAAGAAAAAGUUCAACAGAGGCGAAAUUCCUGUGAAAAACCACACUACCCACAAGUUCUUACUAUGAAAAAGAAAAAAAUAAUAAUUCCAAAUGACCACAGCAGUGACAGUAUAUUGCUAUGAAUCACUGUAAGCUGUGUAAUCAAGUGAGUCUAUCUACACACGUAAACUACUUAUAGAUUUGAAUAUUUAGCUAAAACCUUUGCACUUUUGCAGAUUUUUCACAAAUACCUAUGAUGAGAAUGAAUGGGAGAAAUAUUUCCAAAGUCAUUGAAAAGCAGACAGUCACUGUUACAUUCCAUUAUGACUUAAAGGUGGUGGUAUGUUCAAAUUGUUGCUAUGCUAAAGAUCCUGAAAAAGCCUAUUUUUGCCAAUAGAAACGAGUGGCAAAACUUUAUUUGAGCACUUAAUUAGCGCUGUUGUAUAAGCAGCUGACCUUACCUUCAGGAAGCGUAGUCAGAGGAGACGCAUCACCUGCAAAACAAUAAUUGAAUUAAUUGUGCACACUAGGCAAAUAAAAUCUCUCUAGUGUUUUGUUCUUAAUCAAUUUAUAUUGCUAGGCCAUAAACUGGGUUUAUUGAAGAUACCUAGUUCAACAUUUACGGUUAAAAAAAAAAAAGUGUAUAACCCUUUUUAAAUAUUUAUUCAUUCUUGUAUUGCAGAAUUUUAUAUUGCUAAUUCUUAACCAGUUAAUAAGUAUUCUACUGUCAAGAUAUGCAGGCUUGUUUAUAAAGAUUAUCUAGUCAGUUAAAUUAGUAGAUAGUAGUAAGUGUAUUACUUACAUGAGCACUGCUGCUUUUUAUUGAUCUACACAAGAAAUAAAAAAGUCCAUAAUGAAAGCAUGAAGCAAAUCAAUCUCCGUUUGGUUAUGCUAUUAAAUUUAUUAAAUACCUAGCGAUACAUAAAAGCUAAAACACAUCAACAAUAUUACACUUACAUUGGCGCUGGGGCAGAUGAGCAGGCAUGCAAGUCUUUCAGGGCACGUUUGUAAGAUGGCUGCAUUCACGGUCAAAUUUUUAAUUGGGAAUAUGAACUGCAUUUCUCCUUCAGCAUCAAAAAUCCCUGCCACUUUCUCCUGAUCAAGAGAGGGAGAGAGAAGAAAUAAUAAAGAAAGGAACACAGCUGGUGGUCUAAUGGAGGGCUGGACUUGAAACCCAGUCAGCAGUUUACUUAAGCCUGAAGUUCUUCCAGUAAGGUUAAGCAACUCAGCUGUAUAACACAGAACUGCAAACCUGAACACAAAAGCUGAAUAAAAUCACAUAUAUAUAUUUAUAUAUAUAUAUUUAUUUUAUUUAUUAUUUUUUUCUAACUGUGGAUUACUGUGCUGUUUGGAUGAAGAAAACUGGCCUGUGCUUGUCUAAAAUGGACAUCAGCUUGGUAAGAUGCAUUUUAUUUAACAUUUGACUUGACAAGCAUUGAUGUAUCCAAGUAUUCAACAUCCUGCUACUGUACGUCUGUGUGUUCUUAACAGGUCAGUAGAUAUAUCAAUCAUAUUUAAGCUCAUUAUUUGUUAGUUAUAGUAAACACUUGCAGGAUGCACUGUACAUGUUUUUUAUUUGUUUUUUACUUAAAUUGAACUUAAUUUUAAAACUUAAUUUAAGUUAGUAUUUGCUUUCAUUAAACAUAAUAAUUCUCUAAACUGUAAAACAUCCAUAGGAUCACAAAUAUUUAAUAAUGAUAUAACAAACAUGCUCUGUGGCUGUUAGUUUGCCCCUUAUCACAAAAAAACUUAACAUUGUAAGUGAAUGGUUUUUAAUAAUUUAAGUUGCUCAUACUAAAUGGCAAAAAUAAAUAAAUAAAUAAUAUAUUGGAGGUUGAAUUUUGAAUGGUUGAUUUUUUUUGUUGUUGUUGUUUUUGUUUUACAGUGAACUUGCAGGAUGUUAUAUAUUGUAUUAUACCAAGCACGACACUGGCCUUGUUUUGUGUUGCUUUAUGUGAAGU